AUUGAACGCUGGCGGCAGGCCUAACACAUGCAAGUCGAACGGUAACAGGAAACAGCUUGCUGUUUCGCUGACGAGUGGCGGACGGGUGAGUAAUGUCUGGGAAACUGCCUGAUGGAGGGGGAUAACUACUGGAAAAGGUAGCUAAUACCGCAUAACGUCGCAAGACCAAAGAGGGGGACCUUCGGUCCUCUUGCCAUCGGAUGUGCCCAGAUGGGAUUAGCUAGUGGGUGGGGUAACGGCUCACCUAGGCGACGAUCCCUAGCUGGUCUGAGAGGAUGACCAGCCACACUGGAACUGAGACACGGUCCAGACUCCUACGGGAGGCAGCAGUGGGGAAUAUUGCACAAUGGGCGCAAGCCUGAUGCAGCCAUGCCGCGUGUAUGAAGAAGGCCUUCGGGUUGUAAAGUACUUUCAGCGGGGAGGAAGGGAGUAAAGUUAAUACCUUUGCUCAUUGACGUUACCCGCAGAAGAAGCACCGGCUAACUCCGUGCCAGCCGCCGCCGUAA
rnacentral:rRNA from 1 species